ensembl:lncRNA
AUGAGCCACUGACAUGAAUACCCUGCCCUUGACUGAGCCGGGAUGCGAUCUCACGACUGCAUGUGAAAGCGCUCACUGGCACGGUGCCCGUCAGAUCGAGACGUCAGAGCCGCACACACUCACGCUGGCACGGGUCCCAUCGCUGCGUCCGCCCAUGCGAGGCCACCGGGCUGUGACGUUACAGAGGGAUAAUUUUGGGAUGACGCAUGCCGGUUCUCUGCGUGGAAUCAUUUUGGCUGCAUGGGUUUUUCUGGCUCAAUUAGCAGACUCUCUUUCUGCUGAAGGGGGAUUCAGCAUGUGA